AAGAAGUGUUAGCGAAGAUAAAAGCAAUGGAGGAAGACUACGGCAUGAAAAAGAAUUUAGUGAAAGAGGUCUACGAGCAGAUGAUAACCUCACUGAACAAUUAUCACGAAGGGCUUAGAAAUGGCGCACAUGCUGUGCUGAACGCUUUUUCAGAUUCUGAAGAUACGAAUAAUGCCAAUGAAGUGUUUGGAUGUGAUGAUCCGACGCCAAAUGAAGUAAUGCUAGAAGUUAAGUAAAUACAAACGAUAAAAGUUAGCGUGAUUUUGUUUUAUAGCUGAAA